CCUACGGGUGGCAGCAGUGAGGAAUAUUGGUCAAUGGAGGCAACUCUGAACCAGCCAAGUAGCGUGCAGGAUGACGGCCCUAUGGGUUGUAAACUGCUUUUAUGCGGGGAUAAACUGAGUCAGGUGUGGCGUAUUGCAGGUACCGCAUGAAUAAGGACAGGCUAAUUCCGUGCCAGCAGCCGCGGUAAUACGGAAGGUCCGGGAGUUAUCCGGAUUGAUUGUGUUUAAAGGGAGCGCAGGCCGCGCCUUAAGUGAGUUGUGAAAUGCAGCGGCUCAACCGUGGCACUGCAGCGCGACCUGGGGGGCUUGAGUGCGUCGGAGGUAGGUGGAAUUCGUGGUGUAGCGGUGAAAUGCGUAGAUAUCACGAAGAACUCCGAUUGCGAAGGCAGCCUACCGUAGCGUUACUGACGCUGAGGCUCGAAGGUGUGGGUAUCGAACAGGAUUAGAUACCCCAGUAGUC
rnacentral:rRNA from 1 species